rnacentral:rRNA from 1 species
AGCGAACGCUGGCGGCAGGCCUAACACAUGCAAGUCGAGCGGCCGUAGCAAUACGGCAGCGGCAGACGGGAGAGUAACACGUGGGAACGCGCCCUUCGGUUCGGAAUAACUCAGGGAAACUUGGGCUAAUACCGGAUACGCCCUUACGGGGAAAGAUUUAUUGCCGAAGGAACGGCCCGCGUCCGAUUAGCUUGUUGGUGAGGUAACGGCUCACCAAGGCAACGAUCGGUAGCUGGUCUGAGAGGAUGACCAGCCUCACUGGGACUGAGACACGGCCCAGACUCCUACGGGAGGCAGCAGUGGGGAAUAUUGGACAAUGGGCGCAAGCCUGAUCCAGCCAUGCCGCGUGGGUGAUGAAGGCCCUAGGGUUGUGAAGCCCUUUCGGCGGGGAAGAUAAUGACGGUACCCGCAGAAGAAGCCCCGGCUAACUUCGUGCCAGCAGCCGCCGUAACAC